UGACCAAUAAUGGCUGACUAG
rnacentral:misc_RNA from 1 species